rnacentral:rRNA from 1 species
GACGAACGCUGGCGGCGUGCUUAACACAUGCAAGUCGAACGGGCCUUGUCCCCUUUUUUUUUGGGGGUGGGGUUAGUGGCGAACGGGUGAGUAACACGUGAGUAACCUGCCCCUCACUUCUGGAUAACCGCUUGAAAGGGUGGCUAAUACGGGGUGUUCUGGCCUGCUCGCAUGGGUGGGUUUGGAAAGAUUCGACCGGUUUUGGUUGUUUUGGUGGGGGAUGGGCUCGCGGCCUAUCAGCUUGUUGGUGGGGUGAUGGCCUGCCAAGGCUUUGACGGGUAGCCGGCCUGAGAGGGUGGGCGGUCACACUGGGACUGAGACACGGCCCAGACUCCUACGGGAGGCAGCAGUGGGGAAUAGUGCACAAUGGGCGCAAGCCUGAUGCAGCGACGCCGCGUGAGGGAUGGAGGCCUUCGGGUUGUGAACCUCUUUCGCCAGUGAAGAAGGUCCUGCUCUUUGUGGCGGGGUUGACGGUAGCUGGGUUAAUGAAGCGCCGGCUAACUACGUG